rnacentral:rRNA from 1 species
CCUACGGGAGGCAGCAGUAAGGAAUAUUGGUCAAUGGACGAAAGUCUGAACCAGCCAUGCCGCGUGAAGGAUGAAGGUCCUCUGGAUUGUAAACUUCUUUUAUAUGGGAAGAAAAAAGGCUUUUCUAGGCCGUCUGACGGUACCAUAUGAAUAAGCACCGGCUAACUCCGUGCCAGCAGCCGCGGUAAUACGGAGGGUGCAAGCGUUAUCCGGAUUCACUGGGUUUAAAGGGUGCGUAGGUGGGCAGGUAAGUCAGUGGUGAAAUCCCCGAGCUCAACUUGGGAACUGCCAUUGAUACUAUCUGUCUUGAAUACCGUGGAGGUCAGCGGAAUAUGUCAUGUAGCGGUGAAAUGCUUAGAUAUGACAUAGAACACCGAUUGCGAAGGCAGCUGGCUACGCGAAUAUUGACACUGAGGCACGAAAGCGUGGGGAUCAAACAGGAUUAGAUACCCUGGUAGUCCACGCCCUAAACGAUGGAUACUCGACAUAUGCGAUACACUGUAUGUGUCUGAGCGAAAGCAUUAAGUAUCCCACCUGGGAAGUACGACCGCAAGGUUGAAACUCAAAUGAAUUGACGG